UACGUAGGGGGCUAGCGUUGUCCGGAAUCAUUGGGCGUAAAGAGCGUGUAGGCGGUCCGGUAAGUCCGCUGUGAAAGUCGGGGGCUCAACCCUCGAAUGCCGGUGGAUACUGUCGGGCUAGAGUGCGGAAGAGGCGAGUGGAAUUCCUGGUGUAGUAGUGAAAUGCGUAGAUAUCGGGAGGAACACCAGCGGCGAAGGCGACCUUCUGGACAGAUACUGACACUGAGGCACGAAAGCGUGGGGAGCAAACAGG
rnacentral:rRNA from 1 species